UAGUCCACGCCGUAAACGAUGGAUACUAGUUGUCGGGGGCCUUGCCCCUUCGGUGACGAAGCUAACGCAUUAAGUAUCCCGCCUGGGGACUACGACCGCAAGGUUAAAACUCAAAGAAAUUGACGGGGGCCCGCACAAGCGGUGGAGGAUGUCGUUUAAUUCGAUGCAACGCGGAAAACCUUACCUGGACUUGACAUCCUGUGCUACCUAGGGAAACUUUGGGUUCUCUUCGGAGACACAGUGACAGGUGUUGCAUGGUUGUCGUCAGCUCGUGUCGUGAGAUGUUGGGUUAAGUCCCGCAACGAGCGCAACCCCUAUCAUUAGUUGCCAGCAUUAAGUUGGGCACUUUAAUGAUACCGCUAGCUGAUAAGGCAGAGGAAGGAGGGGAUGAGGUCAAAUCAGCAUGGCCCUUAUGUCCAGGGCUACAGACGUCCUACAAUGGAUAAACAGAGCGCAGCAAUACCGUAAGGUGGAGCGAAUCGCUAAAGUUAUUCUCAGUUCGGAUUGAAGUCUGC
rnacentral:rRNA from 1 species